GUAGGAAAAAUGACCUAGGGAACUACCAACCUGUCAGCCUCUGUGCUGGUGAAAAUCAUGUAACCAAUCAUUCUAAAGACUAGAUGAAGGCACACAGAGGAAAGAAAGGUGAGAUGAAAGAACCAGCAUAGCUUCACAAGGGGAAAGUCCUGCCUGAUCAACCUUCUACAAUGAUGUAACUGCAUUAGUGGACAAGGAAAGAGCAUCUGUUCUCAACUGUCUGGACUUCAGUAAGGCUUUUGACAGGUUCUCCAUGACAUUUGUAUGGUAACUAUUGAGUCAUGGCCUGAGCCACUGAUUGAUCACCUGAGGAAAGGACUGAAUCAGCAGUGAGAGCACAGGUGAAGGUGAUUCAGCUUGUGAAUGAAAGGAGUGGAGUCUGGCCCCAUUUCAUGACCCCAUUUAAAGGCUGACUGCCACGGGGGAAGGAUCUCUUUUUGGAGAUCUCUCUGCUGUGGAGUCUUUCCAGCAAACCUAGAUCUUCAGAUGCAGGUCUACAGGUCUGGAAUGAGGAUUCAGAUGGUGUGAAGCUUCUUGAGGCCCUACAAGCAGUGUGUCACAUCAGUCCAUCCAAAACAUGGUUGCUGGAAAGUGUCUAAGCUUUGCAUUUGAAUUGCUUUGGAAAUGCUCAAGUGGAAAGUUCUCAAGACGAUCAUCUUUGAAAACAUUACAUGGCAAGUCCACAUAUUGUCAAAUUAAACUAGAUAUGCUUUUGGUGAAUUAACUGAAGUGUAAUAUUGUAUGGCUAUUCAUAAACAUCACAACCUCCACUGAAGAAUUCCCAUCUGGAUCCUGGCUUACAGUGAGACUUGGAUGGGGAAAGCAGCUGCCACAAAUACCUCUAUUUAUUUUACUUAUUUAUUGUUUUUGGUUAUUGUUAAAUGUAUGGUUAUUGUCAAAUGUAUGGUUGUCUCUUUUUCACUUUCUACCUUUUAUUCAUUAUGUAAUAUUCGUGUCACUACUCCUGAAGAAUCACAGGAUGCUGUCUGUGGCAAGUUGAUAUUCAUGUGCAGUUGCAACUCUUAUGUUUGUUUCUUGUAUGGUUCCAUGUUUUAUACAAUGUGUUGUAUCCUCUAUGUACUUUGUAACCACUUUAACUGAUGAUGGAUUGGUGUGUGUGUGUGUGUGUGUGUGUGUGUGUGUAUAGUUGAUAUAUUGGUAUAUUGAUAGUUUGGGGAUAAUAGCAGUAUGUGGGUCGUCUUUGUUCUGGUUUUGUGUUUGCUGGAUCUGAUUGGUGGUAACUGUUAGGGGAAGCAGGGAGUGGUGUAGUCCUGGGGG